rnacentral:rRNA from 1 species
GACGAACGCUGGCGGCGUGCUUAACACAUGCAAGUCGAACGGAAAGGCCUCUUUCGGGGGGUACUCGAGUGGCGAACGGGUGAGUAACACGUGAGUAACCUGCCCUUGACUUUGGGAUAACUUCAGGAAACUGGGGCUAAUACCGGAUAGGAGCUCCUGCUGCAUGGUGGGGGUUGGAAAGUUUCGGCGGUUGGGGAUGGACUCGCGGCUUAUCAGCUUGUUGGUGGGGUAGUGGCUUACCAAGGCUUUGACGGGUAGCCGGCCUGAGAGGGUGACCGGCCACAUUGGGACUGGGAUACGGCCCAGACUCCUACGGGAGGCAGCAGUGGGGAAUAUUGCACAAUGGGUGGAAGCCUGAUGCAGCAACGCCGUGUGCGGGAUGACGGCCUUCGGGUUGGAAACCGCUUUCGCUCAUGACGAAGCUUUGUGUGACGGUAGUGGGUAAAGAAGCACCGGCUAACUACGUG